CUUCAGUAAACAAAAUUUCCAGUUUUCUUGAAAAAGUUGUGUGUCUAAGUGGAGGAAGGAAUUGUGUUCAAGUAUGAUUUUUUUUUUUGUCUUUUACAGUUGAUGUUUCUGUGUAGCCAUUGUCAUCCACCAGUGCUGUAUAUUUGUUGUUGAUGCUUCUCUAUUGCAUAAUUUUUUCAUUAUGACAGAUCAUGUGUGUGCCUUUACCCCUUCAACAUGUGAGGCAUUGUGAAAAAAAACAUAUUUAGAUAAAUAAGGUAAAAAUUUAUGCUAUUAAACAAGUUAAAAAAAUAUGAAAAUUUAAAUGCAUUAAGGAUAAUAUAACAACAACAAUUAAGCCUUAAGUCUUACUAGGUGUGGUUGGCCAGAUGAAUUCACCUCAGCCUUUCUGCAUGAACCAGGGCAAUAUCUUUGGAAAAUUGAAGUGCUGUCAAAUUCUAACUUCAUAUCUUAAUUCAAGUGAUGGUUUAAAAAACCCGGACAGGUGGCAAACUCAGUUAAGUAACAGAUUGGUCAUGUUGGUGGGCCAAACGGCUGGUUUUGAAAUGUUGGGAGAGGGCCUCUUCAGGGUUUCUGUUUAUUUGGCGACGAUCACGCUGUGAAAUGACACUUGCUAAGUGGUGUUCAAAAAUUGAGGGCAGCGGCUGUAAUUUCAGCGAGAAGACCAUUGCUGGAGGACCUGCACUGGCAGUGCACACACCCCAUGCACUGGCAAUGUAAAUGUGAGACCCUGUCGACACCUGCUGCAACUUCCAGAAUUGCGUGAUGUUGGUCUUUUUCCCAAGAUUUUGAUGCUGUUUGAUAGAAAACUGAUUGAUUGUGUGCGGUUCACAUUUUGGGGUGAAAUGGUACUAUACGCACCCAAAUGCCAAUUUAAUUGCAGUAUUUUUGGGAAUUCUUAUGAUAUAUUAAUGAUUAUUGUUAGGAAUUGAAAAACUGUCUGUCUUCUAGUGUCAAUUUGAAUUUCUGUUAUGAGAAUUUCAGUUCACCUGCAAGAAUUUGCAUCUGCUGGUGA